rnacentral:rRNA from 1 species
UGGGGAAUAUUGGACAAUGGGGGAAACCCUGAUCCAGCCAUGCCGCGUGAAUGAUGAAGGCCUUCGGGUUGUAAAGUUCUUUUGGUGGGGACGAUGAUGACGGUACCCACAGAAUAAGCUCCGGCUAACUUCGUGCCAGCAGCCGCGGUAAUACGAAGGGAGCUAGCGUUGUUCGGAAUUACUGGGCGUAAAGGGCGCGUAGGCGGCUUGAUUAGUCAGAUGUGAAAGCCCCAGGCUCAACCUGGGAACUGCGUUUGAUACUGUCAAGCUAGAAUUCGAGAGAGGUGAGUGGAAUUCCCAGUGUAGAGGUGAAAUUCGUAGAGAUUGGGAAGAACACCAGUGGCGAAGGCGGCUCACUGGCUCGACAUUGACGCUGAGGCGCGAAAGCGUGGGGAGCAAACA